CGAACGCUGGCGGCAUGCCUAACACAUGCAAGUCGAACGAGACCUUCGGGUCUAGUGGCGCACGGGUGCGUAACGCGUGGGAAUCUGCCCUUAGGUACGGAAUAACUCAGGGAAACUUGUGCUAAUACCGUAUGAUGUCGAGAGACCAAAGAUUUAUCGCCUAGGGAUGAGCCCGCGUAGGAUUAGCUAGUUGGUGGGGUAAAAGCCUACCAAGGCGACGAUCCUUAGCUGGUCUGAGAGGAUGAUCAGCCACACUGGGACUGAGACACGGCCCAGACUCCUACGGGAGGCAGCAGUGGGGAAUAUUGGACAAUGGGCGAAAGCCUGAUCCAGCAAUGCCGCGUGAGUGAAGAAGGCCUUCGGGUUGUAAAGCUCUUUUACCCGGGAAGAUAAUGACUGUACCGGGAGAAUAAGCCCCGGCUAACUCCGU
rnacentral:rRNA from 1 species